rnacentral:misc_RNA from 1 species
UAAUAAUAAUAAUAAUAAUAACAUGUAUCUAGAAUUUGAAUAUUGAAUUACAAAAUCCUAGGUUUUGAUACAAAAUGAAACCUAAACGUUUAGUCAAGUUAAAAGUUUUUAUUGGUUGGUUGACUUGACUUUAGCAUGUUGGGAGUUUUUCCAAGUGUCAUUUAGUUUACUUUUGUGGGGGGUUGGGUAAUAUAUUUCUUAUUUUCUCCUUUAUUGACAACUUAUGAACAUUGAUCUUGCAG